rnacentral:rRNA from 1 species
UACGUAGGGUGCAAGCGUUGUCCGGAAUUAUUGGGCGUAAAGAGCUCGUAGGUGGCCUGUCGCGUCGGCUGUGAAAACUCGGGGCUCAACUCCGAGCUUGCAGUCGAUACGGGCAGGCUAGAGUUCGGCAGGGGAGACUGGAAUUCCCGGUGUAGCGGUGAAAUGCGCAGAUAUCGGGAGGAACACCGGUGGCGAAGGCGGUUCUCUGGGCCUGACCUGACGCUGAGGAGCGAAAGCGUGGGGAGCAAACAGG